rnacentral:tRNA from 1 species
AGUAUUGUGCCAGAGGUGCAUGGGCUUUGUUGAUGUCAAAGAAUACGAGAAAUUUUCUCCAAUACUU